rnacentral:misc_RNA from 1 species
GUGAUUCAUUUCAAUCUGUCAAUCAACAAUGCAGUUUUCUUCUCUUGAAAGUUAAAAGUGAUAACUAAAAUCAGAGCAUCCAUUAAAAUAAUCAGAAACAUUGUCUAAGUAUGGAGCAGAUGACAUAUAUUUGGAUUGCAAAAUCAUAUUUAUGUUUGUCAUCAUUUUCCUAUGCAUCACCUUCCUUUUCCCUUUCCCUCCAGUAUUAUUUUUAAAUAUUUGUUUUAGAAGUAACAUGGUCAGACAAAGGAAUAAAA